rnacentral:misc_RNA from 1 species
CUGGUGCCUCGCCCAGCCUCUGCUCCUCUUCUCCCCGGCGCCUGGUCGGAUGUGGAUCCUCUGCUCGAAGCUCCCAGCGCCGGAUUCCCUGCAAGCUUCGGCUUCCUGCGCGCCCAGCCUCUCCACUUCUCCAGCGCCCAGCCCCAACUCCCAGCCGAGCUCGGCCGCCCGGCCCCCAACGCCGCUCUCUUCCCCAGCGCCCCUCCCCUCUGUUCGCUUGUCGCCAUGUCCGCCGUAGCUCAGCUCGACCGCUCGGCUUCCCCUAGCCUCUUCCCCUGCGAGCUCGACUCCUGCUCGCCCAUGGAGUUCGCCCAGCUCCCUGCUCCGGUGACUAGCGCUCGGCGUCCUGCUCUCUAUGCCCUGCUCGUCCCUGCGCACGCGCCGCGGUUUCCUCCGAGCUCCCUCGCCGUGGAUUCUUUCUGCGCGUCCUCUCCGGCGCUGCGGUGCCCCAGCUUGGCCUCUGCCCAUUCCUCAGCCGCACCCUGCUCCAGUCGCUCACCCAUCGGACGCUACACGCUCGCCUCUGCUCGUUCCGUGGGUGCGCACUGCCUUCUCUGUCCAUGGUGCGCCCUCACCUCUACUUCUCUGCUGGCCGGCGUUUUUCCAGCCGUGGAUCUCCUUGUGUGCCGCGUCCGGCUCCCUGACGUGCCGCGGUGCCCGUCGCCCUGCGCGCGCUCUGUUUCCUCGCGCGGCUUCGUGCUCGCCUGGCCGUUGUCUUGGAUGCGCAGGAGUAGUGUAGGUGCUUGCAGUCGGUGGAUCCUCGAUAUCGAGCUGGGAUUAGAGAAGACAGUACUGUUCCGUGCGUCGCUUAUCCGAUGCUCGACGGAAUGUCCAACUGGGAGGUGA